GGCACCAAGUAAUGUUGAACAGGUGCAGACACCAACAAGUGACAUUAUUUCAGUAGAAGCAGUUCCAUCAGUGGCACCCAGCAAUGUUGAACAGGUGCAGACACCAACAAGUGACAUCAUUUCAGUAGAAGCAGUCCAUCAGUGGCACCCAGCAAUGUUGAACAGGUGCAGACACCAACAAGUGACAUCAUUUCAGUAGAAGCAGUCCAUCAGUGGCACCCAGCAAUGUUGAACAGGUGCAGACACCAACAAGUGACAUCAUUUCAGUAGAAGCAGUCCAUCAGUGGCACCCAGCAAUGUUGAACAGGUGCAGACACCAACAAGUGACAUUAUUUCAGUAGAAGCAGUUCCAUCAGUGGCACCCAGCAAUGUUGAGCAGGUGCAGACAGCAACAAGUGACAUCUUCUCAG